CACUCAGCCUCUCCUCUCUCAAUACAUAAAUUUCUAGGGUUUAAUAAUUCAUACGAAGAUUAAUCUUGUAAGAUCAGAAAACCUUGGAACAGAGCAAUGGCGGCAGCCGAGUCUGAGGCUGAGGCGCAACAACUCAUUUCCCGACUUGGCAAACAACUUAAAGCUUCCAAAACUUGCCCAAACAAAGACUCCCUUGUCAAAUGGCUAAAAGAAGCUGUUAUUGCUUUGGGAAAAUUUAAACAGUUGAAAUCACUGAAUUCAGUAAUACAACCUCUGAGUGAUUCUCUUAUUAAGCAUGGCCUGCUUCAGCACAAGGAUAAAGAUAUUAGAAUUUUGGUGGCGACCUGCUUCUGUGAGAUUAUCCGGGUCUUGGCUCCAGAUCCUGGUUUCAGUGAUGAUGUUUUCACGGAUAUAUUUAAACUUCUUCAAAGCAUAUUUGCGGAGACCGGUGAUUACAAAAGCCCAUAUUUUUCAAGAAGGGUGAAACUGCUGGAGACAGUUGCUAAGCUGAACGUUUGUGUACUAAUGCUGGAUGUUGGAUGCGAGGAUUUAAUUCUCAAAAUGUUCAAAAUCUUUUUCAGUGCUGCGAGAGAGCAGCAUCCUCAGAGUGUGAUUAAUGCAAUGUCAUCUAUAAUGGCUCGCAUUUUGGAAGACAAAUUGGAAGAGAAAGAUCUCGAGUCACUCAUUUUUCAGGAAAAAUUUUCUGAGCCACUCUUGGAUGUGAUUAUACAAAAUCUUUUGAAAGAAUCAAAGGGUGGAUCUGGUGGCUUUGCUCGGCUUGCUGUUUCUGUCAUUCAGAACUGCAAUGAAAAGCUUGAACGCUGUAUUUGUACAUUUUUAAGAUCUUGUAUUUUGAACAGAGAAAGUAUUGGGAGUGAACUUAAAGAGUGGUACCAUGACAUUCUCUACGAAAUCUUCCGGAGUGCUCCUCAAAUGCUUGUUUCUGUAAUCCCUAGCUUAAGCCAUGAAUUACUCACAGAUCAGGUUGAUGUCCGUAUAAAAGCUCUUAAUUUACUUAGAAAAUGUUUUUCUUUGCCUGGCCACAACAUUGCUGAGGAGUAUCACAACCUUUUCAUGGAUUUUCUGAAUAGAUUUACGGAUAAGUCUGCUGAAGUAAGGUUAUGUGCUCUUUCAUGUGGUAAAGCUUUGUACACUAACAAUCCAUCUGGGACAGGAUCAUCACAAAUUCUCACAGAGCUGGAGAGUCGACUCUUAGAUUUUGAUGAUAGAGUUCGAAUGCAGGCUGUGAGUAUUGUGUGUGAUGUAGCAAGAUUACAAAUAGGCUCUGUUACUAAUGAACUAAUAAGUCAAGUGGCUGAUAGGCUUCGUGAUAAGAAGGUAUCUGUCAGAAAGAAAGCUUUGCAAAAGUUGCUGGAACUAUAUCAGGAUUAUUGUACAAAGUGUGUUGGAGACAUCAAGAUGCAUUUUGAGCAAAUACCUUGCAAAAUUUUAAUGCUUUGUUAUGACAAAGACUGCAAGGAGUUCAGGCCACAAAGCCUGGAGUAUGUACUAGCAGAAGAUCUAUUUCCUGUUUCACUUUCAGUUGAGGGAAGGACAAAUCACUGGAUUUUUUUGUCCUCUCUUUUUACACCAUUGCAUGUGAACGCAUUGAAUGCCAUUCUAUCUCAGAAAAGAAGGUUACGGAAUGCACUGCAAGCUUACUUACAUCUCCGGGUCCACAAGGAGGAGAUAGGCUCUGACGAAAUGGAAAGGAAUACCAAAGCUUUAUUUAAAAAAAUGUCAGCUUUGUUUCCUGAUCCUGCAGAAGCAGAAGAGUGCUUUUAUAAGCUGAAUCAAGUCAAUGAUAAUGAUAUUUUCAAAAUGCUGGCAGACAUGAUAAACGUUGGAGAUGCUCUUUCUACUAGAGAUAACCUUCUGAGGAAGAUUGGAGACCAGAGUCCACUUUUUGAUUUCUUGAGAUUGCUGUCAUCCAAGUGCUCGUUAAACAUAUUUAGUUCUAGGCAUGUCAGCUGUAUCUUAGACCAUCUUACUUUUGAUAAGAGCAUUCGCAAUACAAAAUUGGACUAUUCUCCUCUGCUGCUUCUUUCAGCUAUUAUCAGUGCUUUUCCCUCACUUCUUAGAAGUUCUGAAGAGAAGUUCCGGCAAUUGUUAGCUGAUGAAGAUAUCCCUUUCAACGAGCAGCUUAUUCAGUUUCUAGCAAAAGAAGGAUCAAAUAUUUCUAUCAAGCUGAGUGAUUGUUACAAUUUUUUGGAGAGGGUGCGCUUGGAAGGGACUCAAGCAGAGGCUAAACUUGCUGUGUCUGCAAUUGCAGCUUUAAGUGAUUCUUCUGAGGAAGUCAUUGUCCCAAAUUUGUGUAAGACUUCUUGUACUAUCAAGAAACAUAGUGAACAAUGUUUAAAGAGUUCUUUGACUAGUGAUGCCAACAAAUCUGCCAAUUCAAACUUGACACUAUCUAAGAGUGCUGAUGCAUCAAGAAUUUGGAUAGAGGGUUUACAGAAAACUUCGCAUCAGGAGGUUCAUUCUGGAGGGACUGUUGAAGUGCACAAUGAGUCCUCUGUCGAUAAUCAGCAUGAAAUACAUGCAAGUGUAAUAUCUGAAUCCAUCAUGAGUAAAGAACGAGUUGGAUCUUCUUGUGACUCUGUAGCAACAAAACCCACAUUGGGCUUGAAGGAAGACUUUCCAAGCUGUUUACAAGAGAGGGACAUGAAUAUGACAUAUAACAGCAAUACUGAUAAAGUUGCCAAAUUGUCAACAGCCAACCACAAGAAAGUUAAUUUAGCCAAGGAAAACAAAGACAAGGGUGAAGCAUCAGAUGUUGAGCACCGACAAAUGCGAGCUUCAACUCAUUAUAGAUGGAAUGAUGGGGAGAACUCUUCUGUCCACAGCAAAAGGGAAACCUCUGGUGCAUGUGACUCUGAUUGCGAAGGAAACUCACUCAAGAAGACAAAAUUUUUUGCUGAAGAGAUUCCUCUGCCUGGGGAAGUUACGUUAAGGAUUUUGAAUAACUUUUGAAGGGUGCAGAUAACAUAUUAUGUUGGUGAUAUGGAUACAUAGUGUGACAUCUCUGACUUCUAGCUGCAGAGAAUACUAAGAAGAUACGAAGAUCAAAAGUUGCGGCAUCUAAAGCCAUCAAUGUGAACAAGGACAUGAUUGCACGGAGGACUCGAAGACAGAAAGUUUAACUUGGUUAACUGUUCUAUUAACGUUCUUGUCAGUAAAUUGUUUGUCUCUAUGCCAUAUGACAUGUUUUAGUGAAUUCAUACUUUCACUAUUAGUGCAUAUGUGCGACUUUUUCAUCUUGUUUAUGGAGCUCUGUCACAAAUAUAGUAUCCCUAGGUUGGGAUGCUCCUUUGUUAUGUAUUUCGUGUACAGAUGAUGCAGAUUGUUGGAAUUACUGUUGGAUUUUAGAUUGACGCCCAGUCUGAGGACUGAAAAGUUUUUAGCUGAUUGAACAAUUAACAUUCCUUGUAAUUGUUCAGUUGAAAUUUUGUUUAUCAA